UUACAGCAAGAAAUUGCAGUAUAAUGGAGCAGGAUGGAGGUUGUCAGGACUGUGAAGUGAAGGAAAAUGACUGAUUCAUGGACAUUUUAAAAAAAAUUGGCGGCAACAAAGUGAUGGAGUUAUUACCAGCUAAAAACUCUGUCUGCUGAUAUCCCACGUUGGAGCACCGCAUGUAUCUAUUCUAAAAUCAGAUGCGACACUGAAAAAGUAUUUGAGAGUGUUUCAACCCCAAGCAAAAAUCAUCUGAGAACUUUUGAGUGGGUUCUGUAUUAAACAACCAUCAGCCACUCUAUUUUGCCCCAGAGUUGAUGUCAACCUAAUAGACUUCUUAUUACUCAUGCAAGGU